GACGUAGGGCGCGAGCGUUGUCCGGAUUUAUUGGGCGUAGAGAGCUCGUAGGCGGCUUGUCGCGUCGAAUGUGAAAACCCACGGCUCAACUGUGGGCUUGCAUUCGAUACGGGCAGGCUAGAGUUCGGUAGGGGAGACUGGAAUUCCUGGUGUAGCGGUGAAAUGCGCAGAUAUCAGGAGGAACACCGGUGGCGAAGGCGGGUCUCUGGGCAGUAACUGACGCUGAGAAGCGAAAGCGUGGGGAGCGAACAGG
rnacentral:rRNA from 1 species